rnacentral:lncRNA from 1 species
CAUAGUGAAGGCAAAUGGAUCAGACUGAGGAUGGUAUGCUGCCAGAAGAUAUGGAUCAGAAGCAGUCAUCCUCUGUGGGCUGGAAAGUGUCAGAGUUGUUAUCUUUCACAAAUAUCAAAAAUGAGCGGCAGAAUUACCUUUCACUUCUGGAGCAAACACACAUUUCUCUCUUCCAUACCAUACAGUCAGCAAUAAGAUCUAAUGACUGGGAUGCUGCAGCACGUCACAAAUGCAGCUGUCUUUACAAGUGUUUCAGUGGAGAGAUAUUAUGCAAAAUACAGUAUUUAAGGAAAGAGAAAAGGAGCACGCCAACAUCAGAGACUCCUGUUUCCAAAUUGCAUGCUUCUGAAGUGCCAGAAAUACCAUAUGUCGUCUUCCAUAACCUGAGGGAACUGCAAUGGAAACUGUAUAAAGGCAUUGUGAAGAGGAAGGAGUCCAGCCGAAUUUUUUGGAGAGAAGCAAAUUACGGAAGUUCUACAAUAUUAGAUGGAACAGAUGUGAAGACACACUACAACCUCCCUUUGAUUUUUGAAGAUUCAGUAAUUUUGUCAGUUUAUCCUGCAUAUCCUGUUCUACGUCUUGAAUUUAAAAGGGAAUAACUGCAGCUCGGAAGAGGAAGCGAAUAAAACUGGAAUUGCCUUAGGCA